CUGCAAUGUUUUUUUCAUAUGUUUGUAUCUAAUUUGCAGAUGAUGAUUUUUCUUAGAUUUUUUAUGCAGACGUUUUGUUUUAUUAAUCUUGAUUCUUAGUUGGUCUGUGGUCCAAGGCAAUUUUAUUUUGUGUGUUAUUUGUUUUUGUGGUAUGUUAGUACUGAUGGUCUUUAUAAGAUCUUCUUUGAAUGUUUGGCAAAGUUCAUUGGUGUUACUUGUAUUAUAUAUAGUUUUUAUCUUUUCUUCUAGUACUUGUAUGUCUGAUUUAAUGUUUUCCCAGUUUGCUUUUUUGAAUUGACAAAUUUGUCUUUCUGGUUUUUUG
rnacentral:lncRNA from 1 species